GACGAACGCUGGCGGCGUGCUUAACACAUGCAAGUCGAACGAUGAAGCCGGAGCUUGCUCUGGUGAAUUAGUGGCGAACGGGGGAGUAACACGUGAGUAACCUGCCCUUGACUCUGGGAUAACUGCUAGAAAUGGUAGCUAAUACCGGAUACGACCCUCGGAGGCAUCUUCAGGGGGUGGAAAGAUUUUCGGUAAAGGAUGGACUCGCGGCCUAUCAGCUAGUUGGUGAGGUAAUGGCUCACCAAGGCGACGACGGGUAGCCGGGCUGAGAGGGUGGCCGGCCACACUGGGACUGAGACACGGCCCAGACUCCUACGGGAGGCGGCAGUGGGGAAUAUUGCACAAUGGGCGCAAGCCUGAUGCAGCAACGCCGCGUGAGGGAUGACGGCCUUCGGGUUGUAAACCUCUUUUAGUAGGGAAGAAGCGAAAGUGACGGUACCUGCAGAAAAAGCACCGGCUAACUACGUGCCAGCAGCCGCCGUAA
rnacentral:rRNA from 1 species